AUGAUCUCUACAUCCCUACUGCUGCUGCUGCUGGCAGCCGUACACUGUGUUCACUGUGUUGAGCUGAUCCAGACCGGAUCCACAGUAUUAACUCCUGGUCAGUCACUGACUCUGACCUGUAAAGUGUCUGGAUAUUCAUUAACUGAUAGCAGCUACUGUACAGGCUGGAUACGACAACCUGCAGGAAAAACUCUGGAGUGGAUCGGAGAGAUAUGUGGUGAUGGUAGCACUUACUACAGUGAGAAACUGAAAAGCAGGGUUCAGGUUUCCAGAGACACGUCCAGCAGCACAGUGACAUUAACAGGACAGAACAUGCAGACUGAAGACACAGCUGUGUAUUACUGCGCUCGUCACCAGAGCAUCAUGGGCAAUUUGACAGUCGAUUCUUAUGGACAGUCCCUGACCUCCUCAGCUUCUGUGGUGAAAAGACCUGGAGAGUCGGUCACUCUGUCCUGUACUGUCUCUGGAUUCUCAAUGAGCAGCUACUACAUGAACUGGAUCCGCCAAUUCCUCAGUGUUGCUGAUUCGGCCAAUAACUGUGGUAUCAUCUGCAUAUUUGAUGAACAUGUUGGAGUUAUGCCAUGGAACACAGUCAUGGGUAAACAUGGAGUAGAGCAGUGGGCUCAGCACGCAGCCUUGUGGGAUGCCGGUGUUCAGGAUGAGGGUUGA